rnacentral:lncRNA from 1 species
CAAAUUUUAAUUUAAAACAACAAAAUAUAAAUCAGAGUAGAUAUGCAAAUAAGGGUGUCACACUUGACACUUCACACCGUUCACCAAAAUAGUUUGUCAUGCUUAUUUAUUAAUCGAAAUAAGAUAUUGCACAUAUUCGCAGUGGAUAUAAAUCUAACAACAUGCAAAUCCAUGUAACACAUUACAUGUAAAAGUGUCCAACAACAAAAUGAAAACAAGUAAAACAUCCCGUCCCGAUGUUACAUAUACCAGAGCAUGACCCACUAAGGAACUACACUAGACUCCAAGCACUAGCUUCUACUCAAUCACUGCUCGUUACCUGAAACAUAGUUGUAAGGGUGAGUUCCUCAAUCGAUAUAAUAAGCAUUAUAAAAUAUCAUGUAAUGCUAAGUAAAUUAACACAUUCAUCACCCUAAUCAUAUCACACAUUCAGCAACGGCAACAUCAACUCAUAAUCAUACUCAACACAAACACAAAACACACGUAUAAUAUUGGAAUACAUCCAUUCAUAUUAUACGCCAUACAUACAUUAUGCAAUGAGACUCCAUGCAUGCGGUACCGACUAUUCGUGAACACAUAGUUCAACCUCACCGAUCAAACCCAGAUACGGCUACCAAGCUCACUAGUCCCACUCAUUUGAGACCUAGUGACUCACUCACUAAUUCCUCACCAUGGGAAUUAGCUACCACCAUAAAGGCCAUGCUAUGCACGCUAAAUCACCUAGCAUGCAAACAUCAACAACAAUCCAAGAUAGACAUAUGCUCACACUCUAAGCCAUAAACAGUCCAUUCACAAUUGCAUACAUAACAGAUACAUUCACAGCAUUAUGCAUACCAUUAUACAUCAUCAGCAUGUUUAUCACAGAAUCAUAUCAUAUCAUGCCAAAUAAUAAUUCACAGUAUUAGCACACUCUACUAAUACCUAUACUGCUCAAAACAACGGGAAAUGAUCCCUACUACAUCAUACAUCAGCUAAAUUACAUCACUCAGCUGAAACGACCAAAAACUGCACAACAACAGCUCAGAAAAAUCCCACUUCUGCCCAUACGCGUAUGCCUCAUGCCCAUACGCGUAUGGCCCAUUUCCUAGCCAAGCCCAUACGCGUAUGGCCUAUCUCAUACGCGUAUUGAUAUGCGUACAACUUCUCCCAUACGCGUACCAACAGAGACAAAACCACGUUAAAACAUCAUCUUCUUCCUUCAUACGCGUAUGGCCUCACCCCAUACGCGUACCACUCACAGGCUACGCGUAUUACACGCGUAUGGCACGUAUUAGCGCCAGUCUUCUCCCCUCCAGGCCAUCCCAUACGCGUAUUGCCUAGUGUCAUACGCGUAUGGCCAGAAACCCAGAUUUCCAGAUCUGCUAUGGUUUUCUCUGCUACGGAAUUCCUCAGAUCCAACCUUCCACAGUCCAAUUUUUACACAGCAUUCGUUCAUAUUAUCUAACACAGAUCAUACACAUUCAAUUUCACAAUUUCGAACCUUAUCACAUCUAAUUCCUACGAAUUUUCUUCAAUUAUAACCCAUAUCUCGUUCAUCCAUAAGUUCACCAAUUUCAGCAUGCAUCAUCCUAAUUAGAGUCGAUUCAAUGGUUUAUUACUACCCAUUACAUGUUAACCCAUAAUACCCAUUAAACGACGAUAAACCCCCCUUACCUGAGUUAAUCCGGCAAAUCCUUGGACUUCGAGCUUUUCCCUUCUGCAACCCUUGUUCUCUUGCUCUUCCUCUUUGCCCUUUUUCCACUUUUCUGUCGCUUCUCCCUUUUCACGUGAAAAAAACCCUUUUUACCAAAAAAUGGGACUUUUUACUGAUUCCAACUUUAUAUUCCAAUAAUAAUAAUUCAAAUUAUUUAAUUAAAUUAAUAAAUAUACUAUUAACUUAAAUUAAAUAAUUAUCAUAUUUUAUCGGGGUGUU